rnacentral:lncRNA from 1 species
GGAGGAGCGGCCUGGCUUUGUCUGAGUCAGGCAGCCCAGCGUGUGGGAUGCCAGGCUGGAUGUGCUGGGCCUGACCAGCCGCCCGCUUUCCUCUUCUCUUGCCUCUGCCUGCCCCCUGGUGGACAGCUGGGGUAAAGCAUGGGAGUGCGCCUUUGGGGUCUCAGUGGGGCUGAAAUACGACUCCUCCCCUAGGACAGCCUGCCUUCCCCAGCCUUGUUCUCCGGCAAAGUCAAUUUCCUGGAGAAUCGAGGCUCUGCCUCAGAUGUUCGGAGCCUCCGCAGGAUGAACACCUCCAUUUCAAUUCCAGGGGCUUUGAUCAACCUGUGCCUCCCUUGAUCCCCAACUUGUGGGCACCUUCCCUUGAGCAGUGCCCCCACGAGGUACACCUUUCCCGGGAAACAAAAAUCAUUCCUUCUUUGGGUCCUGCAAGCUGUAAAGAACCAAUACAGCACUGUGCUACUGAACAUGUUGCCACUAUAGAAGCCCCUUGUGUUUUGAAGAGUACAUCUCUAUAGCCAUUCGUUUAUUCAUCAGAAACCAGCUAGAAGCCAGGCCCUGUGCUGGGCGCUGGAGACAUGGAAGAAACUGGGCUGAGGCUCCCGCCUUGAAGAGCUUGUGGCCCAGGGAAGGGACAGUUCAUCUGUCAUUGAUUGCCACGUGACAGUGUCUAUGAUGCUAAAAAGAUGCCAGUGCUGUGCUGCAGGAGCAAAGGCCGUGGAGGAAGAGGCUUUGGCUUUGUUGCGAGUCCUUGCCAGAGCCAGGCAAAGCCAGUCACCGCUUUGUUCAGAUGACUCAGGUAAAUAAAUGAGGCCGCACAGGCUGUCCUGACACCACACACCUCUAGAAUACCCUGGCUGUGCUGGGAGCUAUUGGUGUCAGCUGAGUAUUUUCAUCCCUGUCCAAGUCACAAUGAUCUGACUGUACCAGCCUGUGUGGAUGUUGCUAAGAGGAGGCAGACAGCACCAUGAGCUCCCUUAGAUGACGAUCGGCAUGAUGUUCCUGCUGUGGCAGCGCUCAGCUCUUGCCAAUGCUCUUCUCUGCUUUGCUCACUUUAAGCCUCCCUUAAUUUUUUUGAAGCCCAGUUUCCACAUUGCUGAUUCACAGAUAUGCAAGACUCAGGCAGGAAAAAAAAAAGGAAAGGCUGGAAGAAAAACACAUUAGUGUUCUUCCAAACUCUUGACUUUUGGAAAAAAUUAGCAUAGAGAGGAUGGAUGCUCAGCCAUGGCCUGACAUCGAAUGCCUAAUGCAGAGGUGAAGACACCUGCACAGUCCCAUGCACUGGCGAGCUUCCUGGGGACAAGGGCAGUGCCUUGAUCACCUCUCUUCCUCGUGCAGUAAAUGUUUGUUGGAUGAAUGGUUGUCAACUCUAGUCCUGUCAGUCCUCCCUGAGCCCUGAAACAGAAAUUAGGAAAUAAUAACAAUUAGCAGGUCCUAUACUCCUAGAUUUAAGAUUUUUGAACAAAUAAGGGAAAAUUAUUUGCC